GUCUGCAUGACAGGCUCUCGCCCACUGAGCCGUCUCCCAAGCUCCUCCAGCUUAAAGGUUUUAAACUGAAAACAACGCUUUGUCUUCUGCAUCUGUAUUACAUGUGCACUGAGCCCUGUGAGGCUGCACCACCUCCUUGUUGAUCACAGGAUGUGGGAGAUGGAGUCAGGGAACUUCGGAGUAUGAAAAGCACUGCUCCUUCCAGGGAGGGCCAGCACGAGCACUCAGCUUCUUUUGGAACAUUCCAGAAGGCAGCACGGUUAUCCCUUCUUUUUCACUGUGUCCCUGCCCUCUGUCCUGGGACUGAGCGCUGUAACAGAGCGGCCAGUGCAGCCUACAGAUGUGCUUGCAAGAUGCCUCUGCCAUCACCUUCUGGAGAAAGAUGGGGACUUCACUUCCGGUAAAGCAGAGUUGAUUGCCCAACUCAGUUGCAGGGCUCUGGAGUGACAAUGUAUCUGUGAAAAGCCAAAAGGUUGAACAUCCCUGCACAUGUGACUGGAAGAACUAGCCACGUGCAUAAGAGCUUGGAGGAGGGACUCUCCAUAGCACCUUGAGAUGACCUUGUCUCACCAGGACCAGAAAGUUAGUGAGGUGCUGUCACCCCCAGAUUCUCACCCACCAAUAUAGUUGUACAACACAAACA